GGGAUAUAGACACUGAGGCCCUUGCUGGCAGCAGGGUUUUGCCUGUCCCGAGCUGACCCCACUCCCAGGACCACUUCCAGUGUGCUGGAACCUCUGACACCAGCAGUGUCGUGCCAUUGCAGUGCCAAUGCACCCGGGCUCACCCCGAGGGUGCAGGCUCAGCUCUGCCCACACAAGCCCUCGCUUCCUUCUCACCACAUGUGAACUCUGGAUAAACUCUGCAGCCCGGGGUGCAGCGUUCGGAUGUGUUUGAUUUGCUCCGGUUGGUGAGUGACAAACAGCCGUGUGAUGGCAUCGUCUUCUUGGAGUGAUCUGAACCAGAUUUUUCUCUCUCAGCUCUGCCCUGGCUCAGGCUCAGCUGCCCAGCGGGGUUCUGCGUGCCUGGUGGGUGCGAUGCUGGGGCUGAUGGCACAGAGCAGGUGGCACAAAGAGGGUUUCUGCACGGCCUUUGGGCCGAGCACUGAGCAGCGGUGGUACCUGGGCUAUGGCUGUGCCUCAGCUGCCAGUGGGGCAGUGGGAGCCAGCUCUGACCCAGCAUCCCUGCAGGAGGAAUCCUCCCAUUUGCAGAGCUGGUGCCCUCUCCAUUUACCCCCACACAAAGGGGGAGUUCUGUCUGCCCUGCAGUGGAAAUGCUGCAGGGCGGGAGGUGGCCGUGCUGAUGGUGUUAUUUUUACUCUCCUUAGUAAGACAAGGAUGCAUUAAGAGGGUGUUUGCUGGAUGCCCAAAAUAGCCCAUGUGCUCAAGGUGUUCCACGGAGGGCUGUGCCUGCCCUGCUCCCACCCGCUGCUGGAGCAGCUUCAAAGGGGCUGUGCCCGUGUCCCAGCUGUUUGCUAUGCUGGGUGUGCAGAGAGCUACACCCGGCCCCACGCACGGCACAUCCUGAGUUAGGACAGCAGUGGAGAGGCAAAAGCUGAGCUGUGCAAAUCUGUUCCUGGGGACUGCCAAGAAGAGCCUCCAGGGGAGAGCUGGGCAGCUGAUCAGCGCCUUCUCUGGAAGCCCCGGGAGCAAAGUGCUUGGCCUCAAGGCUCGAGGGAGGCGCCUGGAAGAAUGUGUGAUUUACGGCCUUUGUUCUCCAGUCCAGCGGUGUUUUCUAUUAAAGAUGAGAAGUCAAC
ensembl:lncRNA